GGAUUGCAGGCUGCAACCCGCCUGCAUGAAGUUGGAAUCGCUAGUAAUCGCGGAUCAGCAUGCCGCGGUGAAUACGUUCCCGGGCCUUGUACACACCGCCCGUCACACCAUGAGAGUCGGGGACACCCGAAGUCCGUAGUCUAACCGCAAGGGGGACGCGGCCGAAGGUGGAUUCGAUAAUUGGGGUGAAGUCGUAACAAGGUAAC
rnacentral:rRNA from 1 species